AGAGUUUGAUCCUGGCUCAGAGCGAACGCUGGCGGCAGGCUUAACACAUGCAAGUCGAACGGGCAUUUUCGGAUGUCAGUGGCAGACGGGUGAGUAACACGUGGGAACGUGCCCUUCGGUUCGGAAUAACUCAGGGAAACUUGAGCUAAUACCGGAUACGCCCUUAUGGGGAAAGGUUUACCGCCGAAGGAUCGGCCCGCGUCUGAUUAGCUUGUUGGUGGGGUAACGGCCUACCAAGGCGACGAUCAGUAGCUGGUCUGAGAGGAUGAUCAGCCACACUGGGACUGAGACACGGCCCAGACUCCUACGGGAGGCAGCAGUGGGGAAUAUUGGACAAUGGGCGCAAGCCUGAUCCAGCCAUGCCGCGUGAGUGAUGAAGGCCUUAGGGUUGUAAAGCUCUUUUGUCCGGGACGAUAAUGACGGUACCGGAAGAAUAAGCCCCGGCUAACUUCGUGCCAGCAGCCGCGGUAAU
rnacentral:rRNA from 1 species